rnacentral:rRNA from 1 species
GAGGUCCUGCCUGCCCAGUGACAAAUAGUUCAACGGCCGCGGUAUCCUGACCGUGCGAAGGUAGCGCAAUCACUUGUCUCUUAAAUAGAGACCUGUAUGAAUGGCAAAACGAGGGCUUAGCUGUCUCCCUUUACAAGUCAGUGAAAUUGACCUGCCCGUGCAGAUGCGGGCACAAUAAUACAAGACGAGAAGACCCUUUGGAGCUUAAGACAUAGCCACCCGCGUUAAUAGCUUGUAUAACUCAGGCUAAACAACAAUACUGGCUCAGUCUUCGGUUGGGGCGACCACGGAGUAAAAUGAAACCUCCAUGCAGACAGGGAAUACCCUAAAACCAAGAAAGACAUUUCUAAGUCACAGAACAUCUGACUACACAGAUCCGGCCUCUUGGCCGAUCAACGAACCAAGUUACCCUAGGGAUAACAGCGCAAUCCCCUCCCAGAGUCCAUAUCGACAAGGGGGUUUACGACCUCGAUGUUGGAUCAGGACAUCCUAUUGGUGCAGCCGCUAUUAAGGGUUCGUU